GACGAACGCUGGCGGCGUGCUUAACACAUGCAAGUCGAACGAUGAAGCUGGAGCUUGCUCCGGUGGAUUAGUGGCGAACGGGUGAGUAACACGUGAGUAACCUGCCCUUGACUCUGGGAUAACUGCGGGAAACUGUAGCUAAUACCGGAUACGACCCUCGGCGGCAUCGCCAGGGGGUGGAAAGAAUUUCGGUCAAGGAUGGACUCGCGGCCUAUCAGCUAGUUGGGGAGGUAACGGCUCACCAAGGCGACGACGGGUAGCCGGCCUGGGAGGGUGACCGGCCACACUGGGACUGAGACACGGCCCAGACUCCUACGGGAGGCAGCAGUGGGGAAUAUUGCACAAUGGGCGCAAGCCUGAUGCAGCAACGCCGCGUGAGGGAUGACGGCCUUCGGGUUGUAAACCUCUUUUAGCAGGGAAGAAGCGAAAGUGACGGUACCUGCAGAAAAAGCACCGGCUAACUACGUGCCAGCCGCCGCUGUAA
rnacentral:rRNA from 1 species